rnacentral:rRNA from 1 species
AUUGAACGCUGGCGGCAGGCCUAACACAUGCAAGUCGAGCGGAUGAAGGGAGCUUGCUCCUGGAUUCAGCGGCGGACGGGUGAGUAAUGCCUAGGAAUCUGCCUGGUCGUGGGGGAUAACGUCCGGAAACGGGCGCUAAUAUCGCAUACGUCCUGAGGUAGAAAGUGGGGGAUCUUCGGUCCUCACGCUAUCAGAUGAGCCUAGGUCGGAUUAGCUAGUUGGUGGGGUAAAGGCCUACCAAGGCGACGAUCCGUAACUGGUCUGAGAGGAUGAUCAGUCACACUGGAACUGAGACACGGUCCAGACUCCUACGGGAGGCAGCAGUGGGGAAUAUUGGACAAUGGGCGAAAGCCUGAUCCAGCCAUGCCGCGUGUGUGAAGAAGGUCUUCGGAUUGUAAAGCACUUUAAGUUGGGAGGAAGGGCAGUAAGUUAAUACCUUGCUGUUUUGACGUUACCAACAGAAUAAGCACCGGCUAACUUCGUG